AGUGAACGCUGGCGGCGUGCCUAAUACAUGCAAGUCGAACGGACGGACGAUAAGCUUUCUCCUCUGACGGUAGCGGCUGGCGGGUGAGUGACACGUGCAUAACCUUCCUAUUUUUCUGGGGUGACUUCGUAAGGCAGGAUCUGAUACUACAUCAUAUAUUCAACCGCAUAGUGCAGUAGGUCAUGGCGGUUUUGGUGUCUCAUAUAGAUGGAUCCGGGCUGGAUUGUCUAGUUGGUAAGGUAACGGCUUACCAAGGCAACGAAGCGUAGCCGAUCUGAAAGGGUGAUCGGCCACACUGGAACUGAGACACGGUCCAGACUCCUACGGGAGGCAGCAGUAGGGAAUAUUGGACAAUGGGCGCAAGCCUGACCCAGCCAUGCCGCGUGAGUGAAGAAGGCCUUCGGAUUGUAAAGCUCUGUUGUUAGGGAAGAAAAAAAGUGUAAGAAUACCCCGCCGUUCUGACGGUACCCAAUCAGAAAGCAACGGCUAACUACGUG
rnacentral:rRNA from 1 species